CCUACGUGAGACAGCAGUCGAGAAUCAUUCACAAUGGGGGAAACCCUGAUGGUGCGACGCCGCGUGGGGGAAUGAAGGUCUUCGGAUUGUAAACCCCUGUCAUGUGGGAGCAAAUUAAAAAGAUAGUACCACAAGAGGAAGAUACGGCUAACUCUGUGCCAGCAGCCGCGGUAAUACAGAGGUCUCAAUCGUUGUUCGGAAUCACUGGGCGUAAAGGGUGCGUAGGCUGUUUCGUAAGUCGUGUGUGAAAGGCGCGGGCUCAACCCGCGGACGGCACAUGAUACUGCUAGACUAGAGUAAUGGAGGGGUAAGCGGAAUGCUUGGUGUAGCAGUGAAAUGCGUAGAUAUCGAGAGGAACACUCGUGGCGAAGGCAGGUUCCUGGACAUUAACUGACGCUGAGGCACGAAGGCCAGGGGAGCGAAAGGGAUUAGAUACCCUAGUAGUC
rnacentral:rRNA from 1 species